rnacentral:rRNA from 1 species
GAUGAACGCUGGCGGCGUGCCUAAUACAUGCAAGUCGAGCGAACAGACGAGGAGCUUGCUCCUCUGACGUUAGCGGCGGACGGGUGAGUAACACGUGGAUAACCUACCUAUAAGACUGGGAUAACUUCGGGAAACCGGAGCUAAUACCGGAUAAUAUAUUGAACCGCAUGGUUCAAUAGUGAAAGACGGUUUUGCUGUCACUUAUAGAUGGAUCCGCGCCGCAUUAGCUAGUUGGUAAGGUAACGGCUUACCAAGGCAACGAUGCGUAGCCGACCUGAGAGGGGGGUCGGCCACCCGGGAAGUGAGACACGGUCCAGACUCCUACGGGAGGCCGCAGUAGGGAAUCUUCCGCAAUGGGCGAAAGCCUUACGGAGCAACGCCGCGUGAGAGAUGAAGGUCUUCGGAGCGUAAAACUCUGUUAUUAGGGAAGAACAAAUGUGUAAGUAACUAUGCACGUCUUGACGGUACCUAAUCAGAAAGCCACGGCUAACUACGUG